UCUCUCUCUCUCUCUCUCUCAAAACAACAACAAAAAUAAACAUUUAAAAAAAUAAAGAAAUUUCCUAUAUUACUUUUAAAAAGUUGUAAAUUGGGGUUUUCUCAGAAAAUAUCUGCAUCUGCAAGCUUUUCACUAGAUCUCAUCCUCACUAUCGUUCUAGUCCUUUGCACACUUUUUUUAUGAAAAAGAAAAAGUAAGUAAAAGAAUUUUGGUAUAGUAAUUCUGGCACGGUACAAAUUUGUAAAAAAAAAAAAAAAAAACAACUAGCCAUUAUUAUGGCUGGUAUUGUUACGGCAGGUAUUAAGGUAGAACAUAUCAUUCCUAUUUUAGGUGGUGAUCCAACACUGUGUUAUAAAGAAUGUAGCAUAACAAAUCUAUUUCUAAGUAUAUGAAAAGGAGAAGAAAAAGAAGUAGAAUGACUUAGGGAGGAUUUCCAAAUCCAAAUACAAAGUUUGGGGUCCAACUUGAGAAAGAAAGACCACUAUACUGGGUUCUUUCUAAAAUUUAUUUUUAUUUUUCUCCAGCUUUAUUGAGGAAUGACAAAUUUAAAGUUGUAUAUAUUUAAGGUGUAUAAUGUGGUGUUUUGAUAUGAGUAUGACUUGUGUAAUGAUUACUAACUAACAUCAAGCUAAUUAACAUUUCCAUCACCUCCUUUGGUUACCGGUGUGUGUGUAUGUAUGGUAAGAACACUUAAGAUCUACUCUCCUAGCAAAUUUUAAGUCUGCAAUGCAUUGAUAUUUAUACUUACCGUGCUGUACAUUAGAUCUCUAAAAUGUAUUCAUGCUAUAACUGAAAGUUUUACCCUUUGACCACAUCUCGUCAUCAGCACCUGGAAACCACUCUUCUGCCUUCUGUUUUUUCUUUUUUUUUUUAAAGAAGUUCUUUGAUGUUUACUUAUUUUUGAGAGAGAGAGACAGAUCAUGAGCAGGGAAAGGGCAGAGAGAGAGAGGGAGAUCAUAUUUGUUUGUAUGUGUGUUCUAUGUGCCUCUGUGCCCUUCCAUUUGCUACCCCUGGCAGGAAGUUUUUUAAAAAGUUCUUUCCACUUUGAGAAUUAUAUAUUGUAUUAUGUUUUAUUUUAAAUAUUUGCUAAGGAUCUUCAUGGAAAAUAUUCACAUAGUCAUUUAAGAUCAUUUUCCUUAUAAUAAUUGGAGUUUUCCAUGAUCACAUUCAAUUUACACUUGACAUUUAUUUGAAAUAGUUUUUCUCAAGGUAGUACUGUUAUUAGUAGUAUAUCUUGCUUAAAGUGAAAGCCAUUAUAGUGCAGUUUGCUAUUUACUUUGGAGGAAUAAAGGGCUUUUGUGGACAAGGAUUAGGUCUUGGAUCUUAUUAUCAAAUAUUAGCAUUUCAAAAGGUAUAUGGUCUUUCUGGUGUCAACUACCAUGGGAAAUAAUAAAGGAAAUGUAUACCAAAAAAGAUAAGUGAAACUAACAGUCAUAAUUGCACACAAGCAUUGACAUACGGAGGUACCUUAAGACAAUGUCACCAUGAAGCUAUGGGGGGACAAAAACUAUUUUUGUUUUCCAUGAUAAUGCCUUUCACAGUAACAUGUUUAAGUGCUUGAGUGUGUGAUAAAUAUCAAUAUUUUUGUAGCAUUCUGUCACAUUCACAAGACCACUGGACAUUAUCUCAGCAUUCUGUUUAUUAGACUAUCUGGAACAUGACGUCUGCGGCCGUGUUUUUUAUCCCACACACUUAGCCCAUGCUCUACUCAACGCGGGCAUUAAAUAGAAGUUUUGAGAGGAUGAGUUGAAUCAAAAGAUGAAUGAAUAGUCACAUCCUCAUGUCAGCUGGUGGGGAUCAUUGCUAGGUAAAACACUAUCUCCUUGCAGUGGUAAUUCUAGUCACCUUUUCCUUACGUCUUCUGGUCAAGUGUGUUCAUUUAGUAUUGACUUCUUUCUCCCUCUACUAACUUUACAUGGAGAUCUCAUUGACGCUCGUAGGCUGAUAACUUAACCAACAGAGCAACCAUCUCAUCAUAUUCAACCUCUGAGGAAGUAUUAUACAAGUGUACACGAGGGAGUGGGAAUCUUGUGGGCAACUCAAAGUUCUUCAUACCACAAUAACAAAAGUAUUUCUACACUAAUCCAUUUCUCAUUGCUAACUUGUUGCUUUCAACUUCACGUAUGUGGGGUGUCCUUCCCUUAAUUAUCUGGAAAAAUAUGGUUUCCCUUUGGGAUAUUCUCAUUAAUCCUUGACUUGUUUUGAUCUUUGAUUACCUUCAGUCUCACUUCAUUUACCUUUAUCCAGACUUUCUUCUACAUUUCUCUUCUCCCUUUAGAGCCUCUUCCCUUUGUAAAAGUUAUUUGAACUCUCCGCUUCAAAGACUGUCCUUUUGUGUUUCCAACUCUUGAUAUGAAAUUUUUGUCUGCUAUCAAGCCUUGAUUAUAAUUGCCCAUGCAUCAAAACUGUCUUACAAAAUCGAAGAUUUACACACCAUUUUUUAUUGUCCUAAAGGAAAAGCUAAGCACCUAUGUCUUCCAUAAUUCUUUGCAAAGCCUGUGCAUAUAAAUUGUGCACAUACUAUUUUAUCAUGUACCAGACAAUGACUUAAGCACAAUAUUCCUGUUCAAAAUAUGAAUUGAGAAGUAUUGCGGAAGAGUGGCAUUGUAUUAUAUUGUCCUUCAUUCUUAACAUCAUGUAUGACUUUUAUAUAAAAUUUCAGCACACACGUAAUUUUUCCCCUUUUCUGGAAAAUAGUAUUAUGCGCACUUCCUUCAUCUCUUGGACAAAAUCAAACACCUGAGUAUAGAAACAAAUUGUAUUACAGCAAUAAGACAAUUUUUCACUCCUUUUUACAUAGGUAUUGUAUUAGUUUCCUCAGGUUGGCUUUUUAUUUUCUCACAGUCCUGGCAGCUGUAAGUCCAAUAUCAAGGGCCAGCAGGUUUGGUUUCCUUUGAACCCCUCUCCUUGGCUGCAGCUGGACUUCUUCCUGUGUCUUCACAUGAUCUUCCCUCUGUAUCUGUGUCCUAAUCACUUCUUGUAAGGACAUUGACUAGUCAUUAUUGGAUAAUGGCCCACCCUAAUGACCCCGUUGGAUGAAGUUAUCUCUUUAAUGAAGUUCCUGUCUCCAAAUACAGUCACAUUCUGGGGUCGUGAGAGUGAGGAAUUCAACAUAUGAAAUGGGGGAAGAGAAUACAUUUCAGCCCAGAGCUCUCAUGAUGUGAACUAACUGCUUUGUGCACGGGCAUCUAAGGAGAAGAUUGAAAUGCAGAACGCAGUAUAAGAGAAGUAACUACUGAGAUGAACAAAUGCUACUACAGGUUCACCAUUUUAUAGCUGUUGCAGAGGCACAUACUUGAUAGGUUGUAAUAGACCAUUCAGAGAAAUGUGUUGAAUAUUUUCUUGAAUUGAAUGAAAAGGGCACAGAAGAAACAAUUUCCCAGCAUUUUAUCUGAUUCCAUAAGAAUUUUGAGCAUCAAAGUGUACUGUGCUAUGUCGGAAACCAGAUCCAAUGGGAAUCUUCUGGGUUUAUACAUGUAUUAUUGUCAGAAGAAGGAUGGUAACUUACCUGUUCUACAAUAUUAUCUUGACAUGCAUUUUUAAUGAAUUGGGUCUUUCAGUUUAUGUGCACCCAUAAAACCUAAUAGUUCAACCUCUCUGUAACCAUAUUCACCACUUCCCAUCUGAGGGAAUAACAUUUUAUUAUAAAAUUACAAUUUUUGUAACUUAGAUCUCUAGUUUCUAAGAUAAGAAAACAGACAUAUCAUUUGGGGGCAGGAAUAGAAACAAAGUAAACUCUGCUUAAAACAGAACUUUCUGAAAACAUUCCUGGACAUACUUUCACAGGACUUUGAAAACAUUUCUUUUCGCUCAUCUUCUGACUACAGAGUGAACCAGUUCAGGUUAAAAAUAAAAUAAAAGUCUUACUGGCUAUUUGACCUAAAUGAAGAGACAUCUUUCUACCCCAUUGCAGCAGCAAAAACUAAAAUCUCUAAAUGAAUUCUCUCACCAUUGUUGUCCAUAAUUAGGGGUUUGGUCACGAGUAAGAAUAACUUGGUGACAGCCAUGUUAUCACACUCCUCUUAACUCCUGUCUCUUCCACACGUUGAAUGACUUACUGACUUAUUUUCUCCACAUAUACAAUGUUUGGCUCCUGUCUAGUGUGCAAUAGACCUUUGUUAUCACAUCUCUUCUCUCUGCUACUUCAGAUAAUUUUGACGAUUGCUUAAACUGUACUUCCCUGACUAACUUCUCUUUCCUUUCCACUUGAGAUUACCAGUGGGCAAAUUUUAAUGUUUUACAAUUCAGGAUAUAAUUUUUACACUCAGCCUAAUAGCUAAAUACGCUUAGAAAUUUAGGAAAGGUAAAUUGGGCCCCUUGGCACUUUUUUAUACAAAGAAAACAAACUACUUGUGUGCCUCAGUGUUGCUUCUGGAGGAACUUUCCAGAGCAUAAAGUAGUCAGUACUAACUCUUAGAAUGAUGUGAGUCUCUCCAGUCUUGUGACCUCAACUUUCUAUCUUGCUAUUAGGGUGAACAGGUACCAUCUUUGUUCUUAGAGAUGCAUGGGUUAACUUGAACACAUCAGAAGAGUUUAGGUUAGGAUUUCAAAGAAAUGUAUGAGUCCUUCAAAUCUCAAUUCUCAUCUAUGAUAAAAUAUCACUGUUCUUUUAAAAGAUCAUUAAAAUGAUCCCAAAUUGUCAGAUCCAAAUGCUGAUGGGCACAGUCCAUAUUUACCACGAGGAAUAGGGUUAAAAUUUGCCGUCCAGUGACAAAUCCCAACCCGGAACAGAUUUCAGCCAGGCAGCUAGCAGAGCUCGCCGGGUGGGUGAACUGAGCAGGCCAUGGUGGGUGCAGAGCUCAGAGCCGGAAAGCAAACAGCUGCUGUAGCCUGAUUUGAGUUAAAAUAGUGUGAGUGUUUAGUCUGGCGCACGGCUUCAGGGGAGAUUGGCAGCUGGGUCAAACAAAGUCCUUCCAUUGGCUCUCUUCCCAGGCAGCUUCUGCUAGUAUUUAGGUACUAGUGCAGUGUAGGGCCCUUUUCUCAGGCAAAGCUAACAUCUGACCGCACCCUCUUUGCUUUUUCCAAAAAAAAAAAAACCAAAAAAAACAAAAAAAAACAAAAAAAAACAAGAAAGAAAAGAAAAAGAAAAAAAGAAAAAAAACCCUUCUUUUUCCUUCUUUCGUUAAGAUAAAUUCUCCAAUAGACAACCUCUCCCACUAAUUGUGUAUUAGCAAUGUAUUUUAUCUUGGGAGCUGACGCACUGGGCUCUCAACGUGGUGUGGAAAGCAGCCUGUUACAGUGCUGGAUUCAUAAAAGGGCCUUUAUGGUUUGUGAAAGAAUAUCUGUGUGCUUAGGCAGGAAACUUUUUGAUCUGCAGAAAAGCCAGAAGACAUCUAGGUAAGGCUACAUAUCAAAUCUACUUUUUGGGGGAAAAGUUGGGCAGUAAGAAUGAUUCCUCACAAUCGACAUGACUUUGGAGUGUGCAUGUUCACUUUUGGAGAAGUUUACAAGGGUAUUCUUGAAGUUAAUCAGAGAAAUAUUCAUGCACCUGUAAAGGGAAAAACUUAAAAUGGAUAUGAGAAGUGAAGAAAGUGAUCAUAGGAGAAAAUCAUCUCAGGUAAAAACAAAAAGCAAAAGAGCAAUUAAUAUUUAAUAUUUUUAAAGAAAAAAAUAAAACAAUUUUGACUGUGUUUAGUGAUAAGAAUUCGUUUCAUAUUCUCUAUGGAUCUAGCUGUUGGAAUUUUCAUUGAUGGCUUGAGAAUUUAUACUGUUACCUACCUUUGUGAAAAAUUUUUGUCUGAGUUUGUGAUCAGUGUGCAGUUUGAGUCCCUUUGAAUUCUGUAUCUAUAUAUCCAUUCAUGUAGCUAUACAUCCAUUCAUAGAACGGUUGAAUAGAAAGUAAUUUAGAAAAAGAAAGUAUAUAUUUUUUAUUUGUCAUACCAUAUAAAAGGAAGUGAAAUCUGGGGGGAGGGAAUAAAGUUGUGCUGUUUUCAAAAAUUGAUCUACUAAGAUAAUGAAACCAAAAUAUACAUUCUUAUAGUUAUGAUAAAACCCAAAACAAAUGUUGCUUUUUAUUUCACAUCUAAAUUUAUUAAUAUAUGUUGAGACAUUUUUACUAUAAUUAAAUGCAUGAUUGUUGAUUUUUUACUGUGGUUUUUAAUAAGUAUGGCAAUAAUUAGAAAACAAAUAAUGGCAAAAAUUAUGUAGACCAAAUCAUCUAUUUAAAGUUUAAGAAACACAUUUCAUUUAUUUCAAAACGUGCAAAAAACACUAAGUAAUUUUUAUGUAGUGUUACUAUUUUUCACAAUGAAGAUACAAUUUAGAAAUGCUAAAUAUUGUGGAUAUGAGUGAUACGAUUAAUGAUUGUACAACUUACAAUUUUGUUGCUGUUGAGCUUAAAAUCUUUUAAAAAACGUGAGUGUGGCUGGCUUUAUGUUUAUUCUUUGUGUGUUUGCUUAUUGUCUGGUGGUUUAAAAUUUUUUUAGUGACAAUUUAUUUUUGCCCAACCUGUUGACCAGGUAAGAGUUGUAUGUAGCUAUAUAGUAUGUUUAAGAAUAUCUUUUUUUGAAAAAUAAAUUUAAAUAUAUUGUGUUGAAGAGGCAAGAUAUAUUCUCUUUUAUGCAAUAGAUCUGGAGUAUAAAUUUUAGUAGUAGUAACAUUGCUAGUAGUAAUAAUGCUUGUUAGUAUGUCAUUAAUUUUGGUUUUCUGAUAAUAGUUUAUCCAAAUAUAGUUAAUUUCAGUUUUAAUCCAACUAUAGACACAUAUGUAUACAUUUAAUACUUUUCAAUAACUUCCUGCAUUCUCUGUCUAGUCAACAGAAUCUUACUUGUUUUAUGAGAAAGUUAUAAUGUUACCCAUUCCUUAAAACCACUAACCGAGGUUUUAUAAAAGAGUUAAAACAAGCACAGUCUGACUCUUACACAAUUAGCUUAAUAGUUAAUUUGGUCUUAAUUAUAGGCUGGUAGUACUACAUUCAUGCCUCACAAUUACAUAAUUCAUACAUGCAUGUAUAUAUCCUUUUUUUUUCUUUUAAAACUCGUUAUUAAUUAGAACAGUCCAAAUACAAAAUAUUCAGUAUUAAAACAAAAUUUAUCUGUGAAAAAUAUUUCAAUAUACUAGUCUUUAAAUUCUCAUGUAUAGAAACCUGUAUUUAGUGUAAGAUAUUUAUGAAGGCCUUUAACUGGGAAUAUGUAUACUAAAAGCAUUUUAGCAUUUAAAAUAUUUAUACUAAAGGAUCGAUAUGAUUAUUUUCAUUUAAUUUCAUCAGAUAUUUACAACAAAUUCUGCAUUAAUAGGGAGCCCAAGUGAGAUGUUGCCCAUUGGCAUAAACCCGUAGAUCCGAUCUUGUGGUGAAGUGGACUGCACAAGCUCGCUUCUAUGGGUCUUUGUCAGUGUGGUAAUCUAACAAAAUGUUAUAGACAAAUGCCGUUAAAUAAAUUUUAGUCAAGCUCCUGUUAAAUUUUAGUUGAUUACUUUUGAAGAAUUUAUAUUUUUCUUUGUUUCUCAUGUAUAUAUUAACCCUCAUCUGUCUUUAGAGGCAGGCUUCAAUUGUCGAACACUAGGAAGGGUUUAUAACAUAGCCAUUUAAGUUUGAAUCCAAGUAGAGUAAAUUACUUAAGAAACUUGAAUCUUUAUAGCAGGGUUUGAAACAUGGUCUGAAUAGAUCCUGUUCAGAUACUUAAGUUCACAUUAUAGUGGUUAGUAUACCUCAUUGACUUCAACAAGGAAAUUAAAGGUAAUAACUGGGAUUUAUGUAUUACUAUUGAGCUGUUUUCUCUUGAAAAAUGAAGUUGAAUGCUAUUUCUUUUUAAUAUUAUUAAUUACUGGGAGAACUAUGCCAGGAGAGAUGUCAGAGGACAUUUUGUAUGACCUGUGCUGGAAAUCCAAGAGGUUAGGAUAGUCCUAGGAGACACAUACUAAGUUCAUUGGUCAAAUGUUAGCAUAUUAUAUCUACAUCCUUGCCAAGCCCGUAGGUGUAUGGCCGCCAUAUUUGGAGGAGCUGACUGAAGAUAUGAUAAGGAGUUUGAAGCAACAUUGGAAGCUGUGUGCAUCCGGGUUGAGGUAGUAGGUUGUAUGGUUUAGAGUUACACCCUGGGAGUUAACUGUACAACCUUCUAGCUUUCCUUGGAGCACACUUGAGCCAUCGAGGAAUCCUUCACCACUUUAAUCUGAUCAAGCCAAUUUCUGUGCAAGAAGGUAAUGUGUCAUGAGUAUUUUGGAUAAUUAAUCUGAGGCUUUAUUACAUUAAAAUGAUCUUUUCAUCCCUAAAUACUAGAUUAUUCCAUUUGAAUCUUCUUAUAAAAAUUGGCAAGAUGGUAUUUCUAAUAGGUUGUUACUUUAUGAGCGAACAUUUUUAGGAACUGGUGAGCAGUGACUUAAACUGCAUUGAUAUUGCAACUCUUCAGUCACAGAUUCACAAAAUUUGGCUCUUAAUUUUGCAAUUAAGAGAGAUCAUUGGUCUCUCUUUCUAUUCUAUUGACUACUUAGACACUACAGUAAAACGAAAACAAAAAUAAAAAACAAGUCUGCUGGUAUCAAUGAUCUAAUAGCACGUUGUCUGAGUCUUUCUUAUGACACAUCACUUUCUCCCUUAUAUUAUGGUUAUCUAUGUGCUUGUUUAUUUUUUUCCCAGUAUAUACUAGACUGUAAGCCCCUUGAGGGCAAAGUCCAUGCCUUAUUUUUCAUUGUAUCCCCUACAGUGGUUUUCACAUAAGAUCUAAAUAUUUAUUGGAUGAAUGAAUGGAGAAUAAGAUCUCACCCUGUGAUGAGUUUCUACUGAAUAUUUGAAUGAAUUACAAAAAUAGUCACAAAUUUGAGUAUUGUGUGUUGGUCCUGAAAUUUGCCUAAAUUUAAUUCCCACACUGCUCUGCAUCAGUUAAUAUACUUGCUUUUUUUUUUACUGUGUUGAGUGUGCCCAUUCAUCCUAGACAUACAAUUUAAAAUUUAGAAUUACUUUUUCCCUAGAAUAAAAAUAGAGCAGAUUCAUUUUUAUUAAUAAUUUCAUUAUAGUUUAUAACUCUAAAUUUAGAUUGUGCGUAUUUCUUUUGAAUUUUUAAAUUCCUUGAUUUCUAGAUAAAUAGUUUUUCUUUCAGCAUCAAUUUUACAAAUCAGCUUUUUGUGUUUUGUAUACUUCCCUUGUAUUCUACCUUUUAUUUUUGUACAGCUACAUCUGUUGAAUAAACCAGAAACAGCAAUAUCAUAAGUAUGUCAAGAAAUUAAUAAUAAGUAUAUGAAGUAUAAUAGAGGAUUAGAUCACACUUUUGUUUGAAGAGAAGGCACCUGUAAUAUUCUGUCUGUACAAAGCAAAUGAGUCUCUUUGGAGUCCAUUAAACUGUCAUAAAUUUUAGUGGCAAUGAAUGGUGUAACUUAUAUAGAGAAACUAGUUUAUGUAGAUCAUCUUUCAGUCACAGAAUUGAAUAGUUGUAGAUAUUGGAACCUUAAACUCUAUGUAUGAAACAUUGAAUACAUUAGAAAAGAUUUUUAGAUAUCAAUGUGUUAAGAACCCUAAGAUACUGGCAAUGUGGUGAUAAGCUUCCUAUAGAACACUCUGGCAUCCAGAAUAUCUCAGAAUCUAGAAUUUGCCAACAAUGGUGAAGAAGGAACUUUUGAAUCACCAAAGGAGGAACACAUGAGCCUUAGAAAGCUGAAUACCAAUAAUUUCAAGCAAAGUUAUUUGAUUAGUACGCAGAGGUUAAAGACUAGUAUUCUUAAGGCUCCUGGAUGGCUCAGUAGGUUGAGCAUCUGACUCUUGAUUUCAGCUCAGGUCAUGAUCCCAGGGUUGUGAGAUUGAGCCCCACUCAGCAUGGAGCCUGCUUAAGAUUCUCUCCCUCUCCCUUUGCCUCUCUCUCUCUCUGUCUCUCUCUCUCAAAUAAAUAAAUAAAUAAAUAAAUUAAAUAAAUAAAUAAAUACUAGUAGUUGCUAAGAAGGAAGAGUCUUUUUAUUUUUUUAAUUUUUUAAAAAUUUUUUUUAAUGUUUAUUUAUUUUUGAGACAGAGAGAGACAGAGCACGAAUGGGGGAGGGGCAGAGAGAGAGAGGGAAACACAGAAUCAGAAGCAGGCUCCAAGCUCCGAGCCAUCAGCCCAGAGCCUGGGAAGAGUCUUUUUAAGGACCAAUCAAAAGAUAGUGAGCAAGAGGCAGGAGACAUAGACAAGAGAGUAAGAAAGAGACAGAGGAAAUGAAGAGAUGAGAAGGAAAGUACUCCUAGCAAAGAAAAACAAUGUUGUGCCUAAUGGUAGCAGUUCUACACAAAAGUGUAAGAAGUAGACAACUGAGUGGUAAACAAUUACAUCUUUGUAAAUAGUGUAGCCCUUGAGAGCCGGGAGUUCCUUUUGCACACACGUGUGUGUGUGUGUGUGUGUGUGUGUGUGUGUGUGUCCCAACACUCUUGUGUAUAGCUUUGAAGACCAAGUCAGCAUCUUUGAUGGGCCAAGUAGAAUACUAUUGCCCAGAAAUGCCUGUUUCCAUGUGUUGCAACAGAGUUAAGUGUAUCACAGAAGUCAACUGUGGUGUACAGUGAUAAUCUUCUGAAAAUACCAUGUCAAAUGCAUAGAAUUGUCGUCUCUUAUCUACCUUAUCUAAAGUGAACUGUUAUCAUGAGAGAACAGUUUAAAACUUACAACGACAUAGCUGUGAUCAAAAGUGUUAGUCAUACAGAAGUCAUAAUAAUUCUGAAAGGCAGAGGAUAUGAUUAGUAUAAAUGAAGAAAAUAAAAACUCUUCUGUAGGGUGAGAAUACUACAUGGGGAUGCUUUCACUAGUGAUUAAUUAUGAAUUUGCUCUUCCAACUAUGGAGGUUAUUUAGCUUACUAUAGUUUUAUAAAAAAAAUUAUGGAUGACAAAUACACAGAUUGAUGAGAUUAUUUCAAAGAAGCCAAGAUUCAGGACCACUGCUGGUAUCAAAUAUCUAGGAAUAGUUCAAUUAUGCCCAAUAAACCAUGGGGAAAUAUUGUACAUUUAGAGAGUUAGAAUUCAGUGAGGGAACAACUGUGUAGAUUGAAUAAUUCCUGUAAGAAUUUUAAGUGUUCAAGUUUUACUAUGUAGCAAGAUUUCCAUAUUUGGUAACAAAAGAAGUAUGAAAAUUCAGGAAACAAUUAAAUAUCGGCAAAUUUCACUUAACCACUAUCACUCUUGAUAUUUUGAGACUUUUUGUUCAGAGUAGCUGAUUUUGUUUAGAUGCUUUGUGGAGUGAGGCAGGAGGAGUUGGAACUGGAAGCAUGGAAUCAGGGAGGGAGAAAGGAAGGAAAAGGAAAACCAACUGCAAAUCAGUCAAUUGGACCAUGCUAGAAAAGUCUAAUUUAGUUUAUAACACCAGUUCAUGUUAAUACUCUUAUAUUGCUUGUUAUUAUUAGUUCAGUGAACUAUGAGGGAAUCAGAUAAAUUACUUGGCAGUUGAACUGAGCCUUUUUGAAAACAAUCCAGAAGUCCAUGAACUAUGCUAUUAGAAUAAAUGAGUCUCUUUCUGUAAAUAAUUAUUCUGUUUCUCUUAUUCCCUAUUAUCAAGUGCUGACUCAUGAGCAUAGGUGAUUCCCUAAGAUUCCCCAAAAGAUGUGAUACGAAAUUCUGCCACCCUGAACCUUACUUUGUACCCAUGCCUGGAUUCUCUUCCACAGAAUGUAGAAAUAAUUCUUGAAGUCACUAAUUAUAUCCUCUGCCUUUCAGAAUUAUUAUGACUUCUGCAUGACUAACAUUGAUCUUGGGGAGCACUGAUACCUCCCUAAAAGACCUGUAAGGAAUGCCUGUGAAAGACCAUGAGGUGAAGGAUCUGACAUACCAAGAGAGCAUUCAUCUCUUACUUGUUUACUAAUUGCUACCAUCCACUACUAUUUCCAAACAAACCUGCUCCAUGUUAACAUCAUGUUCUUCAGGAUUAGUGGGUAUCACUUCUUCAUCCCCAAGUCUUUACUCUUUCUCUAAGGACUUUCUCAAUUUCAAAUUCUGAUAGCCAUUGAAACUUUUUUUUCCCACAGAGCUUUUUCUAACUUCCAUUAGUGGUUAAGUCCAAGUGUCCAAGGGGACUGUGACUUCCUAGCACUGUAUAUACUUUUUUUUUUAAUUGUUGGAUUGGGUUGAACUGUAGAUCAUUUAUAGGCAAUGGUGAGAAACUAUACACACCUUAAAAUAAACUAUGCUUCAGCGGUGAAGUCCUAUGUUAUCUGAGAUAUUUCUAGACUCUUCAGAAUAUAUCAUUACGGGAUAAGGGUUUUUUUUUUUUUAAACACAGUCUAUAACAUUCAGUUAAGCCUGUGAUAUACUGUUUGAAGGUGAUUUAUGAAAUUAGCUACUCUCUAUUAUUUAUACUAAACCUAAGCCCCUUGUGUACAGAAAUAGCUAUCUUUUCCAAACUCACAACUCCCUACGCUAGUGCUCUGCAUAUAUGAUGAAAUCUUUGGUGAAUGAACAAAACAUUUUUAAGUGAAACAAAAACAUUAUGUGAUAUAUUAGGGUAGUUCUAUAUUUAAGUAUACUUCCUCAAGAUUUUAAAGUUUUUUUAAAGAGAAAUUAGAAAUAUCAUAUUUAACUUUGGAGAAGUCUAUUGGAGGGUAGUUCUUGAUUUUUAAGUUGGCAUUGUCUUGUGUGUGCCUUCAUUUGUGACUUCUUUCUACUCCAUGUGGAAUGUGUGAGUUAAAUAAACUUACCCAUGUCUCUCUCCUGUCUCUGAUCCCUCUUAAAUCCUAUUCUGUUUCUCUUCAUUCUGGACUCCUGGAACUCUUACUUGACCCUAAUCAUAUUCAACCUCGUUUUUCCCAUUACAUUUUGUAGGUUUAGGUAUGAUCAGUGACGUUAGUUUGUAAGCUGUAUAAUUCAUGUAUUACAUUUACUUAGUAAGAACUUAAAUAGUACUUGAUUGAAAUUAAAAAUUAAAUAUAGAUUUAUAAGUGGUAAGAACCUUAGAGAUCAAUAACCCAUUUUCCAGAUAACAAAACUGAGCCCUAGAAUGUUCAAUGAUUUUUGUCAGAACCAAUCCACUAGUAAUGGACACAGCCUAAAUUUUUAUCUAGGUCAAUGAUCUAUGCAAGAAGAUGUAUUUUAUGUAUGCUAUCAAUAUAUUUUUAGGUAAUAUCAUUAAACAAAUUGUAAUUGAAUGAAAUAAGAUGAUAAAGUUUUAUUUUUAAAAGACUACAAAUAACACAAUAAUUUAUCUGCACACUCAAAUAUGAUAGAUAUAAUUAAUAUCAUUUAAAAUGAACUCUGUAUCCAUUUCAUUUUUUCUUUUCAAAUAGAAAUGCACUCUUACUAUGGAGGCAUAGAGAAAAUUUUAUCUACUUUCUAGUCCACUAUGGUAAUUCCCCUCCUUCCAGAACCCUUCUCUAGAGGAGAGGAGUAUGGCCUAGCAGUUAGUGAUAUAUCCUAAGUAAAAAGGGAAGAAAUUGUGAAUUGGUUAACCUGUUAGUAUUAUGUUGCUUGGAAGAAUGAAAGUUAAUAUGAAAUGGUAGCCAUAACUAAGCUCAACUUCAGAGCUCAAUUGCUUGUAUCCUCCCCAAGAUAUACAAGAUAGCAUUAUGUAAAACACUUUUACCAGGGAUCAUGAACUUGAAUAGCUUCAGGGUCUAGGCAAUAUAGUAAGCCAGACUUGAAGACAAGAGGAAGUAACAGGGACUGUGGUAGACCAAAGAUACAGUCACUCUCAAGGUAUUUCAAAAUGACUUCAUCAGUCAUUUGGCUCCCAAGGGCAGCCAUUUUUCCAUCUUCUACAUGAAAAUAUCAGACAGUAAAGCAAAAUUGCAAUAAAUCUUCUCCUUUAAUAAACCUAGAAGCAUCUUUUCUUACAGUUGACCUAGAUAAUUGGGAGUAUCUAUGAUACUCUAUGCUGAUGCUAUUAUGUCAAAUAAAGAUGUCUGAUCCAUGAUAGUCUAAAUAUUUCCUUGAAUUUAAUGGACUAAUGGAAAAUAUUUACUGAUCAAGCAACAACUAUCAAUUGCAAUAUUUGUUUGAUGCUGUUUUAAUGAAAGAAAGGUAGUGGUAGUGAUUAUAGUAGUCCCAGUAGUACUAUGCAGUUUUAGGUUUCCCUUUGUCUCUGAAUCUCAAUGUGCAAAACAAUGAUAUCCUGAUACUUUUUAUUUCUCAAAUAAUUGAUACUGUAAAUAGAUGGAUAGAUAACCUUUUGAAGUCAGAAAAAAAUCAAAAGGUUAAAUAGAGUGAACACAAUUAAAGUUCAAGGGUUUUCAUCUCCGUAUAAUGUCUUAGAUUAGGGCAACUGAGUAGAGCUCAAGAAUAAAGUAACUGGUGGUGUUGUUAAUUGUAUUUUAUUGUGUGAUAAUUAAAAGACCAGUUAUGCAUACAUCUGGAAUUAGAUCAGGUUCCUGUCCAUAAAUUUUUCAAUAUAAUUUAAUCCAAUGAACUUAAAUGUGGCAAAUAGAAAUGACACAACCAAUUAUGAAAACACUGAGUUUGUAGUAAUGAAGAAGACUCAUGUUUGCAGUGUUGCUGUGUGUAGUAGAAACCUUCCUAUUAAAUACAAUUAGGAUUAGCCGUUGGUACCAUGAAGAUUUUUGAGAAAUGGAUCUUAAAAACUAACACAUACAUACAAUACACAUUUUGUUUAAAUUUGAAAGCUUGAUUGUAUAUUUGCCAGUAUUUUUACGCAAGCCAAGAACUACUCUUGAGUUUGGUUGCUGAUUACAGAUCUUAGUCAUGUUUUUUUUUUUUGUAAAUCCCUUAAUGCAUCAUCUAUGAUUUCUAAUUUCUGUUGUUCCUCAGAUGUCUUUAAGCACACAUCUAAUGCCAAGAAAUCUAACAGCAGAAUACUACUUUCUUUAUGAUUGUUUCCAAUCUUUUAACAUUGUCUUACCUACAUCCAACUCUCUAGCAUUUUUUUUAAAUAUGAUCAUAUUUUAUAAAGUCUUUCCAAAAUGUUAAGGUUUAGAAAACGCUUCAUUCUUUUCUCACUCAUCUUUACAUUGGUUUAUAUACUAUUUAACUAAAUGAUACAAUUUCACAUUAACCUAACUGGCAUAAACUGAUUUGGGAACAAACAUAACAGAUUUCUGGCAAGCAUACAAAUCACUUGAUGGGAGCAGAAAUACUUGAGUGCUCUAGAACUUUCUGAGGUGAUGGAAAUGUUCUCUACAUUGUCCAAAACAGUAACCAUUAGCCACAUAAAGCUGUUGUGCACUUGAAAGAUGUCUAAUGUGACUGAAGAAGUGAAUUUAAGUUUAGUUAAUUAAAAUUUAAAUAGCUACAUGUGGAUAGUAGCUAAUGUAUUGGACAGUGCAGUUCUGGAAAGGAUCACACUUAACAUUUAGCAUGCUGGAGCAUUUAGCAUCUGUUGAAAAUGUCAGCUAAUCUGUGAAGUGGUAAGUGAUUACAAGUAUUUCCUCGGUAGCUGAAUUAAGAUUUAGGGGAAGAAUAACUUGGGAAACUCUAAUUGAUUUGGAUUUCAUUUUUGUUUUAUUGUUUUUUAUUUGUUUAUUUUGUUCCUAUUUGGGUAUAGAUUUAAUUUUAUGGGAUUUUAAAAAUUUAUGCAAAAACAGGCCGCCAAAACAUUUGAAACUACAGAGGUUUGCAACUCUUUCUGAAGCAUUCAGUCAACACAAACCUAAUUAGAAAGCAAAUAGCAUUAUUGCAGUAGCAAAACAAAAACAAAAAUGUGUUCUUACUUUAGGAUCAUGGAUCCAUAAGAGACAUAGAAUGAACUUGUUGAGUCUCUGGGGUCUUUGGAAAAAUGUAUAAUACUUUAAAGGUAUGUAGGUGUGUUUAUUUUUCUGAGGAAGAAGUCCCAGCUCUUCUCAGAUUAUCCUAGCAGUCCAUGAUUUCCUGAAAAAGUUAAGAAUAACUUCAGGAGGUUGCUGUUUAAUGCUUUUUGAGGGACCAGAAGUUAAUUAAGUAGUAAAUACAUAGACUUGAAAGCCUUUUUCUUACAAACGUCGUAAAUCUGUCUUCCUAUCCAUCCAUCCACAUACAUAUUUCAAAUUAUAUAGUUUAUGUGUGUAAUUAAAUAUGUAAAAUUCUAAUUAAACAUUGCACAAUAUAUAAUUUAUAUGUACUUUAAUUAAUAUUAUAUGUAUAAUUUAAUUAAUUGGCUAAACCUGUGGAACAUAGUUAAGAAAGAGAAUAGCGUAAUUCUUUGGAAGGAUUGAAUAAAAUUAGAUGGCUAAAAUCACUGUCAUAUGAAAUGUGAAUAUUCAACUGUGAAUUAUUGGAAAAAUCAUAAAAAUAUAGAUUAGACCAUCUCUCAGUUUAUUAUAUCAGUGUGUUUGCAAAUUUUCUGCUUAUGAGUGAUUGGGUCCAUUAAAGCAGUAUAAUUUAUGAAACACAAAAAGACUGUCACCAGACCUAUACUCAAUAAAAGGACAUGAAAAUAUGGGGAAAAGUAGAAAAUUGAACUUUAUGUAUUUUAAGAAAAAUUAAGAUAUUUAAGUUUAACGUGUCCCUUUCUGACUAGUAUUUUUGUUUAAUCCAUCAACUACUGGUCCAAACACAUCAGGUAGGAUGGACUCUACUAUAACAGUAUUAGUCCUGCUUUUCUUUUUUAAUGUUUGUUUUUAUUUAUGUUGAGAGAGAGAGGGAGAGCAGAAGAGGGGCAGAGAGAGACGGAGAGAGGGAAUCCCAAGCAGGUUCCGAGCCGUCGGUGCAGAGCCCCAUGUGGGGCUGGAACCCAUGAACUGUGAGAUCAUGGCCUGAGUCAAAACCAAGAUUCAGGCGCUCAACCGACUGAGUCACCCAAGCUCCCCUGGGGUUACUCCUCUUUCAGAAGUGAGAAAAAAGUCAGGGGGUUAUGUAAUGUCCUACAACCACAUAAAUGGUAAAUCCUGGGACUGAAAUGCGUCUUACACCAAAGGAGUUGAUUUCAACUACUUUGUUGUGAUGCCUCCCACAAGAGACUCAGCAAUUUGAAAACAGUAGGUAUCCACAGUAAAAUUUGAAAGUAAGAUUUGCUCUACUUCUUCUAAAAUGAAAGUACAGCCUCACUUGUUGAGCUGGCCAGCCCUUUUUGUGCUUCCAGAGAUUUUCUGGCCCAGUGUUUCUUUCAGUUUAGAGAUCCACACAACAAAAGUUCGAUGGGCUCUUUUCUGUUUGAUUUUUUUCAAACACUGAAUAGCAUAAGGUUGCCAGACCUACCUAAAAACAGCAAAUAUAUUUAUUUCUAAUGGAAAUUUAUCAGCUCAGUGUGGUUAAAUGUUUUUUAAUGGCUAAGAGAAACAUUGAACAGCAUCUCACUAUUACAUAAAUGAUUACUUCUGUUUUUAAAGUAUUUCAAAAAUGGGAGUACGAUAGGGGCACCUGGGUGUCUCAGUCAGUUAAGCGUCCAACUCUUGGUUUGGGCUCAGGUCGUGAUCUCAAGGUUCAUGGGUUCGUGGGUUCUGUGCUGGCAGUGCAGAGCCUGCUUGGGAUUCUCUCUCUCUCUCCUUGCCCCUCCACCACUUACAGGCUUGCUCGCUCUCUCAAAAUAAAUAAACUUUAAAAAUGGGAGUACAAUAAACCUUAAGUAUUAUUUGAGAUUAGAUGAUUAAUAUUUGGGAAGUAUCUAACAUUGUUCCUUACAUAAUCUAGGGAUUUAAGAAGACCUCCUUUUUCGUCUCCCUCCGCUAAAAAUAUUAGCUUGACACUUGCUUAUUAUUCCCUGACUUUCUCUGAGUUUUAAGACCUCUUAGAACAGUGGUUCUCAAAUUUGUCUCUCUUGAGGACCCGAAGGGGGAAAGGAAUGGAGGGCGGGAAGUGGGUGUAGUUUGAAAAAGUUCUCAGCAUUAUUCAUAUUUUCCAUCUGCAUAGGCACCCAUUCCAAUAGGCACCCAUUAUGUGGUCUGAUUUCAGAGGCCUCAGAAAGGUCACCCCUGCUCUGAAAUAGCUUGGUCUUUCAUUCCACGUUAAACUUACAGCACAGUCAUUGACUAUUCCCCACUCCCCAGUAAUAAAGGAAUUGAACUCCGGCCCUAGAGUCAGACACACCUGAAUUUAUAAACAAGUCUUGAGUCAACAACUACUACAAAAACAGAGCUUUUCAUCAGUGCUUUACGAUCUUCAUCUGUAAAGUGAAAAUUAUGAUACCAGUACUGCAAGAUUUUUGUGAAGAUUAAAAGAUUAUAUGUAUAUGGCAUUUAGCAAGCAUGGGACCUAGCAGAUAAUAGGAGUGGAAAGAAUAUAAUUAUUAUGACCAUCAUUGCCUUCUGAAACUGUACAGUGUAUUGUUUAUUUAUUAAAGGUCCCACAAGUCCAGAGCUGUGGAAUUUACCUGAGCAGAGCCAACCACAGGAAACACUGGGAGGUGGUUGUUUUCUCUAAGACCUCUCCUUAGAUUCUUGAUCAUCCUGGCUUUGCUGCCAAGCUUUGUUUUGAAUAUGUCACAUUUCAAAUAUUCUCAUUGUCAGGCAUGAUAGUGAAGAAGUCUCACCUUUUCCUUCUGAAAUUACAGUUCUUCUACAUAUGUCUGAAGUUAAUUCUUUUCCUAUUUGUACAAUUCAUAUUUUUGUAAACAUAAGCAAUUUAUCACUACUGUGUAUAUACAAAUAAAGUGAAGUGAUAAUUUGCUUAAGAGCCUUUUCCCAUCUGUAAAAUAAGAGUAAUAAUCCCUGCUUGUUGCAUUUCUCCAGUGCAAAAUGUUGAAAAAGUAAAAUAUAUAAUGAAAAAAAGCCUCAGCUUUUUAAUAUAAAUAUGAAAUUAAGCCAUUUAAAAUGUAAAAUUAAAUAUAAAAUAUUUAAUUUAUAUAUAAAAUAAAUAAAAUUAAUGUGUGUGUGUGUGUAUAUAUAUAUAUAUAUAUAUAUAUAUAUAUAUAUAUAUAAAAUAGAAAAUUAACUCAUUUAAACUUUUCUCUAGGAAAUUUUAUAAAUAGACCCCCAGGGGAGGAGAAAUAUCAAAGUAUUCUUAACCUGUUCCUCCCCCAAGAAGAGGAUCUCUCUCUCUCUUUCUCCCUCUCUCCCUCUCUCUAAGUCUCUUCAGUACCUCUGUCUUUUUGUCUCUAUUGCUGUGACUCUCUGUGUCCUUCUCUCAGUCUCUUUGGUACCUCUGUCUUUCUGUCUCUCUUACUGUGACUGUCUCUCUCUGUCUCUCUCCUUUUUCUUCCCUUCUCUCUUUUGUGUAGGUAGGUCCUGCUUAUAUUUUUAUUGCUUAAUUCUCUGCAAAUGUCUGUUUCCGUCACUAGAUAUAAAUUACUUCUUUUAGUAUCUAGCCAAAUGCCAAAAGUAAGAACAUUAUAUUCACUAGAUAAAUGAAUGAUUUAUUGAAUUAAUUAAAUCAAUGAGAGCAGCUAGAAAUGUAGACUUUCUAGUUCAUAUGACACUGGAAGGUAUUAACUAUAGUAUAAUUAAAACAUUCAUUGUUGGCCAAUCUUGGUCAUCAUCUUGUUCAGGUGAUGCCAUUGGAAGCUAAGUUAGUCCUGUAAUUUCGUCCUAACACAUUCCUUUCUUAUGAAGCCAAUCAUUUCUGUCUGAGCUAGUGAAUACACACCAUGCCUGUGCGAUAAAAAUGAUUACAUUAAAUAUUUCUCAACAGAAAAUUGGGUGGAUCUCUAUGUUUCAUGAUUAAGUUGUUUUUGUUUUUUUUAACCUAUAGAAACUAAAUUCGGUCUUCCAUGUUAGUUUAGUGAAAGCAUUUUCAGUAAUUUUAUUGUAACUUAUUGUCUUUCUAGGUAAUCGACAGCAGGAGUCUUUUUAUUUUUUAAUAUUUUGGUGGGAAAGGAAAGGUUGCUUUAUUCGGGAAGCUGGCAACCUGGGAUGAUGGUUCUCAGAGACCAUCUUCUAGAUAGGAGGUAUCUGCACUGGGUUCAAAAGUUUGUGAAGUUUUGAACUUGAUUCUCUUUCCCUCUUUUCGGCAGGCUGAAUACAAUUCUUUGUCAGGGUAUUGGAUAGUUUCCCAAAGCAGGUUUCUCCCAGAGAGGAAGCAACAUAAGCAUCUAAAGUUCAACUGUGCAAGGCAUCUGGGGCCUGACACCCAUUAGCCAGGGUUCUGAUCCUGUCCCGCAAAUCUACAGACAGGCCACAUCACAUUCCUGGGUCCUGGAGGAAGGCCUGAAUACCCUCCAAGAAAUAGCAUCUUUACCUACUUGGCCCUAAGUAGGUGGCAGAGAUUUCAGGAGCUGAGAUGGUGAACUUGCCCAUUUUAAAAUGCUGAUUAUCUUACUGAUGGCUUUGAAAGUACUGUGGCCUUCACACUAGGUCUCCUCAGAUUUGAUGGAUAGUUGUUGGGUACAGGGAAGGUAGACCUUCACUUAGAUAGUUUCAUUAUAAAACAUAGGCCUUAGAGAUAGAGAGCUGCCAGAUUUAGCAAAUAAAAAUAUGGGAUGCUCAAUUAAAUUUGAAUUUUAGGUACAUAAUGAGUAAUUGUUUUAGUAUCACUAGGUCUGGCAGCUCAUGCUGUUUUCAUUGUUUAUCUGAAGAAGCAUUAUUUUUAUUUGGCAAUUCUUUUUUAGAUAGCAUUUUCCAAAAUAAAGUGUCACACACCAUUGUCAUAUAUACUUGUACUCUCAUUAAAUAAGGGGAGUAGUGCCAGCUAGUAAAGAAAUAAGAAUGAGAUUUAAGAUAUGCCAGGGAAAAGCAUACAAAAUUAAUAUGAUAACUUAUGUUAAAAUAAUAGAAAGUUGGAAAUAAUUUUUUUUCUUCGAAAUGUUAAAGUCAAGUAAAAUAAGUAUGAGGCUAUAUUACCUCGCGUGAUUAAACAAAGCAGUUUAGCAAAUGACGUUGAACAAGCAGGAGCCAGUCAACAGCAUCAGCAUAAAAUUCAGGGAACGAAAAUUUUGUUAUAAUGUCAAAGCCGCAUUACCUGGUGCAUUCUCUGAUGUUCUAAGUGGUCUUUGCAUUAAUUAUGACAGAAUUUGGGGUUGUUGUGGGGUUUCUUUGUUUGUUUGUUGAGAGUUCUGGAGGGAGAAUCUCCCAAAAGAUGAACACUCCGGUUAAAGCACUUUCACUUCUGAGUUAAUGUAAAUCCUCCCUUGCUUUGCACAGGAUCUAUUGUGUCGGUCCCUUUAACUUUUGCAGCCUCGAUUGCUAUGACAAGAUAAAUCUCACACAGAUAACCUAUACUGGGUCUGUGUUCGUCUUAUACUCGGUGAAAAUUUGACAUGGUGCCUUAGCAGUCAGUGACACUGACUCCCUCACCAUGUUUGCCCAUGUCACAUCACUGUCUCCCCCAGCCAAACCCGCUCCUUCCUGACCAUCCCCACUGCCCCCACCCAGCUCAGCAGCUCCCACACUUUCCAGUUUUGCUCAAAACCCCCAUGGGAGCCAAGCUGCCCGGCUGGGUCUUCUCCCCACACUCAUCAACACCAAGUUCCUUCCUGUUCCUGUGGCUUUGGGCAGAGAAUCACAGACCUGGAGACUUUCGAUGUCACCCAUCAAGUCCCACCAGGCACACAUAUGCUUGUCCACGUGCUCACACACCAUGAAUCUUUUCAUUUAAUGAGGCAAUUUGUCCUGUCAUCUUGGCCCCAUUUCCUUUAUUUUAUACAGAAGGACACGAGCACAUAAAGAUCAAGAGAUUGUUUUCAAAGUCACGGAGUCACUUACAAGUCAAGGCUGGAACCCUGAUACCUUCAUUAAAUCAAUCUUUUCAGAGACUUAAGUUUUUCCUCUGUCUUAUAGGAUCAUAUGACCAGAGAAUAAUGUCUUUGUGAAAAGUAAAUGAGAACUUAAAGUAUCUAGCCAAACUGUUUAUUGUGGGCUUUCAGAAAAUGUUUGUUUUCUCUCCGCAUUUUCACUAAACUGUUAGACAAUUUAUUAGAAUUUAUUAACAACAUUUAUUAAGAGACUUUGCUUUGGUUGCUAAGAAUUCCAUUCAUUCACAGAUCUCUGCUUAGCCUGCUUUUUGACCCUGACAAAUUUAUUUAAUCUUUCUGUUUCUAGACAUAUUUCUUGGCUAUACAGUAAUGUUCUGUGAUUAUGUGAUUCUAUAAUUUUUCUGUUUUAAAGUUUGAGUCAUUAAUUAGCAUGUAUUUGUAACUCAGUAGGUAUUUUCAAAUGAAUAAAUAUGUGAGUAAAUGGUAGUAUCCAAUGUUGUUAUUAUUUUCUGGCUGUUUAAUGACACAUUUGAAAGUAAUAGACGUAUUAUAUGGUUUCUAUGGAUAUUUCAAAGUCAACUAUGGGAUAUUUUAAAGUAAUUGGAUUCUUUAAAAAAUUGUCCCACAUAUCUGAGUUAGAUUUUUACUCAGUUUCACAAUAUUUCACAUUGACCCUCAUUUCAGCCCCCGGCUUUCUUUCGCCUCCCGAAGCUCCUGCUCUUCUCCCUAAGUCCCUGCUCAAAGACUAGUGCAUAUUUUGUAAAAAAAAUUAUUAUCUUGUACACACAAUAAAGUUUAAAUUCCUCUACAGGACGUUAAGGAACUUUAAAAUCUGUUUCCAGUGUACCAGUAUAAACCAUAUCAGGCUACCCCUCCAUGUCCUGGCCCCCUAUCUUUCCAGGUCAUGCCCAUUUACCACUGCCCUAUAUCCACCCCCGCUGGGGCUCCAUUCACCUGUGUUGUGUAAUGGAAGGCAGUAAGGCACAUAAGCAGAGAACAAAUGUGGCCGUAUCAUUUUACAGGUGUGGGAGCUGUCUCUAUAAGCCUCACUUGCUUUGUGCAAAACCAGGGUAAUAAUAUAAAUUGCUUGUUGCGUAGAAGGCAGUACGUGGAAGCUGUUGUGAUGUGCUGAAGAUGAACUCAGAAGUCUUUGCUUAUUUUGUUCCUUCUAAAAGCUUCUGAAUUACUUUUAUUUGUGGCAAAAUUGCAUUUAUUCUUCAAGAUCUGCUUAUCCCCUAUGUUCACAUUAAUAUGUAAUUAAUAAUGUUUAAUUUGCAUGCUUUGGCAUUUCUACUCUCUUCUGUAUUCAUUGGUAUUGUAUCGUUUUCUAUUUCAUCACUUCCGGAAACAGUCAUAGGUAAGAAGAGUGAAAGGAGCUUUGACGAUCAUUUACUCCAAUAUCCUGAUUUAAUAAAUAGGAAAACUGAAGUUCAAACUCAUUAGUAACAUUUUUUUACAAUUAAUUGUAUAAUUUGUGCUUCCAUAGUAGUCUGUGAAUUUCUAAGAAGUAGAAAAUGGUGUCUGCCUGAUCAGUUUAGGUAUCCACAGUGAUUGGCUCAGGGUAGACCUACAGUGAUGGAUACUUCUGGAAAAAAUGAACAUUGCAAAACUACUUCUGGCCAAAGUUCUGAACUCUAACUUAGUGUUUUUGUACUGUACUGUAUUUACUUUCAGUCAAACUUCAUCUUUUUCUACAGAUUCGCUUACUGAAAGAUUCACGGUCUCUUGAAAGUUUUCGAUCGUCCUGGAGUGGUCUAAAUAAAGAUGAUCCUUAUAAGAGUCAGGAGCUCUUCUGGUUCUAUAAUGCAGUCACUUAACUUUGAGUUGUAAUGAUUCAUACUCCUAGAAGCAGGCCCAGAGAAAAUUGAAGUUGAAGCAGUAUUAUUUUUUCCUGGUAAAGUUCUUGGACAUGUGGAUCCUCUAUCCUUGACAUCAAACUCAGUGGUCCUUUUUUUUUUUUUUUUUUU